rnacentral:rRNA from 1 species
GUUUACCGUGAAAAAAUUAGAGUGUUCAAAGCGGGCAGAUAUUUUUCCUGCCACCGAAUACAUUAGCAUGGGAUAAUGGAAUAGGACCCUGACCUCCUAUUUUCAGUUGGUUUUGUUUACAGCGAGGUUAUAUCAGGGUAAUGAUUAAUAGGGAUAGUUGGGGGCAUUAAUAUUUAAUUGUCAGAGGUGAAAUUCUUGGAUUUAUGAAAGAUUAACUUCUGCGAAAGCGUUUGCCAAGGAUGUUUUCAUUAAUCAAGAACGAAAGUUAGGGGAUCGAAGACGAUCAGAUACCGUCGUAGUCUUAACCAUAAACGAUGCCGACCAGCGAUUAGGAGACGUUGAAUACAAAACACCGCCGUUAAUCCUUUCGGGGGUUAAUGGUUGGUGAAUGACUCCCUAGCAC